GGAUUAGAUACCCUGGUAGUCCUAGCUGUAAACGAUGGGCACUGGGUAGAGGAGGCGUCGAUACCUUCUUUGCCGUAGCUAAUGUGUUAAGUGCCCCGCCUGGGGAGUACGGUCGCAAGGCUAAAACUCAAAGGAAUUGACGGGGGCUCACACAAGCGGUGGAGCAUGUGGUUUAAUUCGAAGCAACGCGAAGAACCUUACCCGGGUUUGAAAUCCUUGGAUGCAGCCUGUGAAAGCAGGUGCGCUGCCCUUCGGGGUGAAACUUGGACAGGUGUUGCAUGGCUGUCGUCAGCUCGUGUCG
rnacentral:rRNA from 1 species